rnacentral:rRNA from 1 species
UUUCUGCACUAACAGAAAGCAUUUCCUGCUCCAUGCUAUUCAAUAGCCGCAGUCACCUGUGCUAAGGUAGCACAAUCAAUUGCCUUCUAAUUAAAGGAUCGUAUGAAAGGAUACAUGACUCUCCCAUUCUAUUCAACAUUUUCUAUAAAAUUCACUUAUAAGUAAAAAGGCUUAUAUACAAAGGAAGGACGACAAGACCCUACAGAACUUUACUUUCAGUUUAACUGGGGCGGUUAAUAAUUAAAACUUAUACUAUCUUCCAACCAAGACCUGAUAACAUCAAUAAUAGGAACAAGUUACCUUAGGGAUAACAGAGAAAUAGCCUUCCUAAUGACACUUAAAAGGAAGAUUUCUACCUCGAUGUUGAAUUAAUAUCCCUUUAUAACAAAAUGUUAUUCAAGUUGGUCUGUUCGACCAUUAAAAUAUUACAUGAUCUGAGU